rnacentral:rRNA from 1 species
GGUACCUACACGGUCAAUAUAGCUUCUAAAAUGUUAGUACUUGACUCGAGUUUUAUGUAAGAGGGCAGUACUUGAGGAGGAGAGAUGAAAUUCUAUGAUACCAAAGGGACUCGGUAAAGGCGAAGGCAGCCUUCUAUGUAAAAACUGACGUUAAAGGACGAAGGCACAGAGCACAAACAGGAUUAGAUACCCAAGUAGUCUUUGCAGUAAAUGAUGAAUGCCAUAGGUUAGAUUAAGAUUUAGUAUUAUAAUUAUAAAUUAAAUAUUAAACAUUAUCUGGUCUAUAAAUGAAAGUGUAAGCAUUUCACCUCAAGAGUAAUGUGGCAACGCAGGAACUGAAAUCACUAGACCGUUUCUGACACCAGUAGUGAAGUAUGUUGUUUAAUUCGAUGAUCCACGAAAAACCUUACCACAAUUUGUAUAAUUAUAUUACAGGAGUUGCACGGCUGUUUUCAGUUAAUGUUGUGAAACUGUGGUUUCCAUGUAAUUAACGUAAUCCCUGGCUUUAUUUUUUUUAUUUACGAUAAAGCAUUUGAUCCUGGAAUUUGGAAAGAAAAAGGGGACAAAGACAAGUCAUCAUGGCCUUGAUAUUGUGGGCUAUAGACGUGCCACAUAUGCCUGGACAAAGAGAUGCGAAAAUGUGAAUUUAAGCUAAUCUCAAAAAACAGGAUAUAAAUUUUAAGGAUUGUAGUCUGAAAUUCGACUAUAUGAAUAAGUAAUUACUAGUAAUCGUGAAUCACCAUGUCACGGUGAAUUAACCUUGGAUUGGUACUAACCACUCGUCACAUGCUGAAAAGAGCAUGCGCAAUAAGUUUGCUUUCUUAAUAAUUAGUAAAAAAAACAAGUAGGUUUUAUAUAUUCUAUUAUUAGGGAUCUUCGUAUGUGUGGCUCUGAUUAGUGUU